UACGAAGGGGGCUAGCGUUGUUCGGAUUUACUGGGCGUAAAGCGCACGUAGGCGGUUCGUUAAGUCGGAUGUGAAAGCCCUCGGCUCAACUGAGGAAGUGCACCCGAAACUGGCGAGCUUGAGUACGAAAGAGGAUCGCGGAAUUCCCGGUGUAGAGGUGAAAUUCGUAGAUAUCAGGAGGAACACCGGUGGCGAAGGCGGGUCUCUGGGCCGAUACUGACGCUGAGGAGCGAAAGCGUGGGGAGCGAACAGG
rnacentral:rRNA from 1 species